rnacentral:rRNA from 1 species
AUGGAUUUGCUUAAAUUUCUUGUGACGCCGCUGCUGCUAUCUCUUCUAACCUAUCAAACCUAUGUGGGCGCAGCAUCGGAUGAUGAAGAUUUCUCCAAACAAUGUUCAUCUCAGAGGUGCAGCAAACAUAGACCUGAGAUCCGGUUCCCGUUCCGGCUGUCAACUCAACCACCAUCAUGUGGCGCACCUGGCAUGCAGUUAUCAUGCUCCGGGGGUGACAUAAUCCUGGAUCACCCUGUUCUUGGCUCCUGCAAAGUGACCGAGAUCUAUUACAGACACCGUGUCAUCAACGUCACCCCGCUUGUGGAACCAGCGGCACAGUGCCCACUUCAGAAGCUCAUCUCAACAAAUUUAGCAACUGAUGUGUACGAACUACCUCCAUCACCAACGACCCUGGUACGUUGUUCAAGCGAAUUCAUACCUGCAGAUCCAUACAGUGUAGCUGGCCCAGCUGCUUGUCUCAGUAACAACGCAACCCAGUUCUGGUAUUUGGCGGCGUCAGCUUAUGCAUACAUAUAUGAUCUACCACGGGACUGUGAGGCCGUUUCUAGAGGCAUUCCAAUACCCUACAACUAUGAUAUAGAUGGCCCAGACAAAGGAAACAAGUUUGUCUUCAACAAAAAAGCGAGUACAGUCAUCAAUUUUGGUGAAACAACAUUCACUUGGCACCUCAGUAACCUUACCGAUGUCUGCCAACAGUGUGAACAUGAAGGUCGACACUGUGGAUUCAGUUCACGCAGCCGUCAAGCAUUCUGCCAGCCCCGUGGCACACAUGUCAUCCCAAUUGCAGCAGCAUCAUCUGUAGCUGCAUUUAUAGCUCUUUCAUUGGUGGUAGCCGCAACGCUCUACCUCUCCUUAAAGUCAAGGUAUAAUGAAGAGAUAAAUAAGAAGGUCGAAAUGUUUCUCAAGGCAUAUGGCACAUCGAAACCCACAAGGUACACUUUCCCCGAAGUUAGGAAGAUAGCAAGACGGUUCAAGGAUAAACUCGGCCAGGGUGGAUUUGGAAGUGUAUACAAAGGCGAGCUACAAAAUGGAGUUCCUGUGGCAGUCAAGAUGCUAGAGAGCUCUACAGGAGAGGGGGAGGAAUUCAUCAAUGAAGUUGCAACCAUUGGACUGAUCCACCAUGCAAAUAUCGUCCGUCUUUUGGGCUUUUGCUCCGAAGGAAUGAGACGGGCUCUUAUUUACGAAUUCAUGCCUAACGAGUCACUGGAGAAAUACAUAUUCCCACAUGUUUCCAAUAUUUCUCGACAACUCCUAUCACCAAAAAAAAUGCUAGAUAUUGCUUUAGGCAUUGCCCGAGGGAUGGAAUACCUGCACCAAGGCUGCAACCAGCGCAUCCUCCACUUUGACAUCAAGCCACAUAACAUCCUGCUGGACUACAACUUCAACCCAAAGAUCUCAGACUUUGGCCUUGCAAAGCUGUGUGCAAGGGACCAGAGCAUCAUUACCUUAACUGCAGCAAGAGGCACCAUGGGAUACAUCGCACCAGAGCUAUACUCUCGGAACUUUGGAGGGGUUUCGUACAAGUCAGAUGUGUACAGUUUCGGCAUGCUUGUGUUGGAAAUGGUCAGUGGAAAGAGGAACUCAGAUCCAAGUGUUGAGAACCAUGACGAGGUAUAUCUCCCGGAGUGGAUCUACGAGAGAGUAAUCAGUGGGCAUGAAUGUGAGCUCACUUCAGAAAUAACAGCAGAAGACAAAGAAAAGAUGAGGCAGCUGACUAUUGUGGCCCUGUGGUGUAUCCAGUGGAACCCGAAGAACCGGCCUUCAAUGACAAAGGUGGUAAACAUGUUAACCGGGAGGCUGCAGAAUCUACAGAUCCCACCUAAGCCGUUCAUCUCAUCUGGAAAUCAUCCUAUGCCCUAA